UCUUUCUAUAAUAUGAUGCUGCAUUAGAAAAGAGCAGCAGUGGUUAGUGAGUGAAAUAUAAUCUUGUUCAGCAGAAGAACAAUUUACUGUUUUCUUAACUGUCUCCACCUUGUUUUACCUUAAAUCCUUGGACGCAAUCGCAAAAAGGGUUUUUAUUAAAAGUUAGAUGUGAACAGCUUAUGAUUUGGUCAUUAAGAAAGAAAAAAAAUUAGAAGCUUUUUUUUAAAAAACUUUAAUCCCUGUCGAUAUAAUACCAGUUACUGUGGGGCAACAGACCUUAUGAAGAAGAACCUGAAGAAAUACCUCGAGUCACCCCCUGGUCACCCAAGUGCCCACGAGGUGCAGUUAUCAGCAGUUAAGGGAACGAUCACCAUCUUGAAGAGAGCAUUUGUUUACAACGGUAG